rnacentral:rRNA from 1 species
GACGAACGCUGGCGGCGUGCUUAACACAUGCAAGUCAAACGGUGACCUCGGAGCUUGCUCCGGGCGAUCAGUGGCAAACGGGUGAGUAACACGUGACCAACCUGCCCCUAACUCUGGGAUAACCCCGGGAAACCGGAGCUAAUACCGGAUACAAGACCGAGUGACAUCACACGGUCUGGAAAGUUUUUCGGUUAGGGAUGGGGUCGCGGCCUAUCAGCUUGUUGGUGGGGUAAUGGCCUACCAAGGCAACAACGGGUAGCCGGCCUGAAAGGGCGACCGGCCACACUGGGACUGAAACACGGCCCAAACUCCUACGGGAGGCAGCAGUGGGGAAUAUUGGGCAAUGGGCGAAAGCCUGACCCAGCGACCCCGCGUGAGGGAUGACGGCCUUCGGGUUGUAAACCUCUUUCAGCAGGGAAAAAGCGAAAGUGACGGUACCUGCAAAAAAAGCACCGGCUAACUACGUG